rnacentral:lncRNA from 1 species
GGCGCCCGGGCCGCCGCGGAGGUCGGGACCGCGAGCCCCCCGCGUGGCGCCCCGCCCUGGCCGCCGACCGCUGCUCGCGCGCCCUCCACGCCCAACGGCAGCCUCCCGGGCCCCGCGGGUCCCCGCCCCCGGGUCCGCGUCCUGACUCGGCCACGCGCCGCCCCGGGCCCGCCCUCAGCGCCCCCGCGCCCCACGGCAGCCUCCGGGUUAGCCCCUUGCUGCGCGCCCGGGAAGCCGCCGCGGCCCGCGUGGGUGCGGGGCCCUCUGCUGCUGCGCCCCGCAGGCCCUCCCCUCCCUACAGCCCGUUGUAAGGAGCUCCCCUUUCUCUGUUUUAUUUGGAAGCUGAACAGGGUCAUUGACUCUUCCGGGGAGCCCAGAGAGCACAGCUGCAAGUCCCACUCUCCGGACUGGCCCGAAGGUGACCACUGAAAGAGAAGAAGAGUGAGAUUCCCACACAAGUGGAGGAAAACAAAUGAAACGGGGGAGGGCUUCAAGAGAAAUAUGAAGAAAGAAAAACCAGAAAGUAUAAAAUAAACUGAUUUUACAAAUACUGCUACCAAUACUGCAAAUAAAUUGAGAUGAAAGUUAAUGGACAAAGAUUGUUGGAUUGUGUUCAUUUAUUCAAAUGAUCUUUAAAAUUUACUUAAGAGAGAGCAACAGCACACAGUAGGGGGGGACGUUGUGCAGAGGGAGAGGGACAAGCAGACUCCUCACUGAGCAGGGAGCCUGCCUGGUGGCUAGAUCCCAGGACCCCAGAAUCAUGACCUGAGCCAAAGGCAAAUGGUUAACUGACUGAGCCACCCAGGCACCCCUGUUGGACUGGAUUUAAAACAAUAAGAACCACUUAUACUGCCUCUAGAGACACACUGAAAAUAUAAAAUUGACACCCAUACAGAGGGGUGUGCAAGACAAACCAAAAGAAAGCUGAAGCAGCCACAUUAAUAACAGGCUGUGGGCAGAGGUAUAAAGAAGAACACUAAAAAAAAAAAAAAGAAAGAAAGAAAGAAGAAAGAAAGAAAGAAAGAAAGAAAGAAAGAAAGAAGAGAAAGAAAGAAGAAAGAAAGAAAGAAAGAAAGAAAGAAAGAAAGAAAGAAAGAAAGAAAAAGAAAAGAAAAGAAAAGAAAAACACUGCUCAAUUUAGAGGGGAGAGCUAGACUUUCCUCUACUAUAGGAAGAAACUACAGGAAGAGUUCUAAACUCAUAUGCAAUUAAUAAUUGCUUUAAAAUAAAGUAGAAAUGACAAAACUAAAAUGAGAGAAACUGACAAAUGCUUAGUCUGAGUGAUGUCUCUCAGGGAGCUAUUUCAUGGGAAUCAGUGAGCUAGAGGGUCUUGAGGACAGAGGGUGCCGGGGCAGAAGAAAGACUAGAGUAUCAGAGUAUCAGUUGCUAGGAGGAGUACCUGGGAAGAGAAAGUGUGAGACAUGUUACUGCUUAUUACCCUGAUAAGUACCAGUAAACUUUAUCUUGAUUUAACACUUCAUUUUUUUAAAGAUUUAUUUAUUCAUAAGAGACACAGAGAGGCAGAGACACAGACAGAGGGAGAAGCAGGCUCCAUGCAGGGAGCCCGAUGUGGGAUUUGAUCCGGAGACCCCAGGAUCACACCCUGGGCCAAAGGCAGGUGUUCAGCCGCUGAGCCACCCAGGGAUCCUGAUUUAACACUUCAAAGUAUUAUUAUUUUUUUAACACUUCAAAUUAGAAUAAGGGUUUGAACAAGGUCUACAUGUUGCAUUUAGUGGAAAUGUAUCUUAAGUCUGUUAAUCCAUAACAAAACUAAAGGAACUCUGUUCCUUCUUUUUAAAAAAUCCCUUCCCAUUUAUUUUUUGGGGGAAUAAGUCAUUUACCCCAUAGAAGAUUUGAAUAACUACAUCCCUACUAUAUCUUUUAAUAUGUUCCUCUUUCCCCUGUAUUUUGUAUAUGCUGGUAGUUACAUUCAGAAGCUUGAUUAGAUCAGUUUGUUUCUCAUCAGGAAAGCUCUGUAGGUUGCAUUGUGCAAGAUUCUAUGGCUUCAUACCAGGAGGCACUUAAUACCCUCCUGGCAGAGUUAGGGUCACUCAUGGGUUCAGAGGGUCAGCUGAAUCUUCCAUUAUUUUCAUCAGUCUUCCACCUAUAGGCUUUUACUGCCAUUAUGACAUUGCCAACUCUUUCUUCUGCAUUUACUAGAUGGAAUUCUACACAUAACUUUCCUUCACCAAUUUGUCCUGAAAUGCAGUUCAUAGGGGAGAGUCAGGAUGUGAUUCUUCAACCAGCAAUUUUUUCAACAGUGGAUGACUGUAGUAGCAACUUUCAAAUGGCUAAUGGAAUGGAU